rnacentral:rRNA from 1 species
CCUACGGGGGGCUGCAGUGGGGAAUAUUGGACAAUGGGGGCAACCCUGAUCCAGCCAUGCCGCGUGUGUGAAGAAGGCUCUCGGGUUGUAAAGCACUUUCAGUGAGGAAGAACGCCUGGUGGUUAAUACCCAUCAGGAAAGACAUCACUCACAGAAGAAGCACCGGCUAACUCCGUGCCAGCAGCCGCGGUAAUACGGAGGGUGCGAGCGUUAAUCGGAAUUACUGGGCGUAAAGCGCGCGUAGGUGGCUUGAUAAGCCGGUUGUGAAAGCCCCGGGCUCAACCUGGGAACGGCAUCCGGAACUGUCAAGCUAGAGUGCAGGAGAGGAAGGUAGAAUUCCCGGUGUAGCGGUGAAAUGCGUAGAGAUCGGGAGGAAUACCAGUGGCGAAGGCGGCCUUCUGGACUGACACUGACACUGAGGUGCGAAAGCGUGGGUAGCAAACAGGAUUAGAUACCCCGGUAGUC